CCUACGGCGGGCAGCAGUGGGGAAUAUUGGACAAUGGGCGAAAGCCUGAUCCAGCCAUGCCGCGUGUGUGAAGAAGGCCUUCGGGUUGUAAAGCACUUUCAGUGGGGAAGAAAGCCUUGGGGCUAAUACCCUCGAGGAAGGACAUCACCCACAGAAGAAGCACCGGCUAACUCCGUGCCAGCAGCCGCGGUAAUACGGAGGGUGCGAGCGUUAAUCGGAAUUACUGGGCGUAAAGCGCGCGUAGGCGGUCUGAUAAGCCGGUUGUGAAAGCCCCGGGCUCAACCUGGGAACGGCAUCCGGAACUGUCAGGCUAGAGUGCAGGAGAGGAAGGUAGAAUUCCCGGUGUAGCGGUGAAAUGCGUAGAGAUCGGGAGGAAUACCAGUGGCGAAGGCGGUCUUCUGGACUGACACUGACGCUGAGGUGCGAAAGCGUGGGUAGCAAACAGGAUUAGAUACCCCGGUAGUC
rnacentral:rRNA from 1 species